rnacentral:sRNA from 1 species
ACCCUGUACUCCCACCAAACCAUGGUCUGUGGGGGCUGGAGGGGAGGAGGAUGUACCUUGUGUCUCUUUCAAGUGCCUUAAUCCGAGCCAGCAGGGCCCUCUGCUUGCCCGCUGCCAUACUGUAUGUAGGAAAGUGCUCUGUGGCUGCCUUUGUGUCAAGAAAAGAGCAGUCACUCUCAGAAUCUUGAUUCCCCAUCAGCCAAAGCAAAAGAUGGCUGCUGCUUUGUAGGCAUGUGCCUGCAAAUGGGACCUUGCUGGGCAUUAUAUGCCCUGUGGGGGUUUCAGAGACCCUGAAAGAGGAAGGAGGACCCGCCUCCUUGUCUGCACAACUGCAUGCACUUCUCUCCCCAUCGCUCCACAACCUGAAACCGAGAAGGAGUUGCUGACCAGCGCCCACCCCGGCAGCCCGGGAGGAACACAGGCAGCUCCUUUCCCUUCACGUGGUCUGCGGAGAGCAGGGUGAGCUGCCAGCUGCCCCUCUCCACCAGGGUACCCUGUCUUGGUGGUUAGGGGCCACUUUUCCUUUGAGGCUCUAGUGGAGGUGGAUAUCCUUCUCUGCCAGGCCUGGCACAUGAUGUGAAGAAUAAAUGCCCAAAUCUUACUGUUCAGGUUUGAUGUGGAAUCACAGCUGCAGUGAUAUAUAUUUUUUAUCAGUGCUUGGUUGGUUUUAAAUAAAGUGCACGCUAUUUUAUUAUCUUGUUCUGAAUAAAAUGUAUUUACUCCAA